rnacentral:lncRNA from 1 species
ACAGCCUCUGCAGCCACCCUGGGGGAGAGACAGCUCCAGCAGGACCUGCUAAGGUGAGGUGUUCUGGAAGGGUCUCUGCUCCUAGCAGUCACUGGCAGCUUGCCCAAAUUGGAGAAGUUUAACAUCUCUUUUCUCUGAGAAGUAAAAUGUGUUUCUUUGGUGGAUGUGAAACCAACAAACCACUGUGGUGCCUCUCUACAUCUGAAGGAUGAGCCAGCCAAGCCAGGGGAACUGACGACCCCACACACGUCUGCACUGCUGUGGCCGUGUUGAACACGGACUCCUUCUUCAGGGCAGCCUUGGGCCAUCGGAGGGCUGCUGUAUGCAGUGACGGCCACCAAGUGUCCUUGGCCAGGGGAGUGAUUUACAGGGACUGAGAUCCUGACUUGUGACCCAGACACGAAUGCAUCCUUGUUCCAUUUUGUUAUUGCUCAACCGUCAUCUGGCCAUCCCCAAAGCCCACCUCUGUGAGAAAGGCCAGUGCUUGUCCUCGUGACACCCCUGAGACCUCGAUGGAGCAAGUCCCAGGGCCCAUCAUACAUUUUUAAAGAAAAUCUUCUUUUGGUGAGAAGAUCAAAGGGCCAGGCAGAAAUGGAAAAGCACUUUCUGGCAUCAGACUUCCUCUGACUUCUCCGGUUGCCACACCACUGAAAGACUGCCCCACAGUGCGAGGGACGUCCACAUCUGCCUGGCUCUCCGAGGGAUGAACAGCCUUCAGUUCAGCUUCCUGUCACACCCCAAAAUCCACCAGGGCUCUGCAGUCAUAGAGCCCUGGAACCCAGAGGUGGAAACUUAAAGGAAUGAGUGCUCUCUCGCUCCAAAACCACAGAUAUCUGGUCCAUAGAGAACCCACCACACUUGUAUACAUUUUCAUACGUCUGCGCACAUACACAAAUGCACAAACACAUGUUCAGCUGUUGAUAAUCAUCUGAUCUUUUGCUCUUUCGAUGUAAAUAUGGCCAGAUAUCUCUGGCUUUAAUUCUCAUUAAAAUUUUGAAAGUUAUACUUUCUAUACAAUAUACAUCAUGGAUGUCCAAUCUUUUGGCUUCCCUGUGCCAGAUUGAAAGAAGAAGAAUUGUCUUGGGGCCUGGCGUGAUGGCUCAUGCCUAUUAAUUCCAACACUUUGGGAGGCGGAGGUGGGAGGAUCACCUGAGAUCAGGAGUUCACGACUAGCCUGGCCAACAUGGUGAAACCCCCCCAUCUCUACUAAAAAUAUAAAAAUUAGCGAAGCAUGGUGGCACAUGCCUGUAAUCCCAGCUAUGCAGGAGGCUGAGGCAGGGGAAUCACUUGAUCCCAGGAAGCAGAGGUUGCAGUGAGCCAAGAUUGCACCAUUGCAUUCCAGCCUGGGCAACAGAGUGAGACCCAGUCUCAAGAAAAAAAAAAAAGAAUUAUCUUGGGCCACACAUACACACAUAAAAUACACUAACACUAAUGAUAGCUAAUGAGCUAAAAAAAAUUUCAAGAAUAUCAUAAUGUUUUAAGAGUUUAUGAAUUUGUGUUGGGCCACAUUCAAAGUCAUUGUGGGCUGCAUGUGGCCCGAGGGCCGCAGGUUGGACAAGCUUGAUAUACAUAUUAUGUAUAUUAUAUAUUUCUGUGAAAACAGAAUAAAUCCAAGACUGAGGAUCUAAUUCCAAAAUUCAUUUUUGUAGGCAUUCUGAGACUUAACUAUUUUUCUAGUCACAUAAUAAGGAAAGGAUCCUUACAGAAAUACUGAAAGCUCUUGGUUCUGCCUUUGCUGAUGUUUUCUCUUUUCUCUAUUCCCUCUCCCUUCACACUCGUCCUCAUUCUACAGCCUCAAGCUUGUGUCAUUGUUCACAUCUGCUUCCCCAUCUCUGGAGUCUCUGUCAAGGCUCACCCUGGAUUUGAGGUAGGUUAAGUAGCCAAUGAGCCCAGCUGGUCCACAGACACCAAAAUUGUGUGUCCUGGAUGAAGUCAGCAUCUUUCCCUCGCCCUGUGCCUUUCUUGUCUGUUGGUUCCUAUUUCUGUUCCUACUCACAAUCUACCUCUGGGGAUAUCACCUGUCUUUGUUUUCCAGAGUCACCUCUGCCAGCCCAAAAGCUGCUGCUUCUAGAAAGUCACUACCAUUUCUAAAAAGUUCCUUGCAUCUGGUCCCCCCUCAUCACCAUCCCCAGCACCUCAUCAUUGCUGAACCACAGCCCAUAGCAAUCUCUUUAGUCAAGGUUGUGCUUCACCUUCCUUCUUUGAAUCAAUGCUCUUUGAAACAAUAUCCCUAGGAGUUACUUUCUUCGUGACCUCUUCCCUAGAGGACGGCCUCCUUGUCUGCCUGCGCCUGGCUUCCCUCCCACCCCUACCUUUUCCACCAUCAUAAUCACUGCCACUACCUCACUGAGAUCCUGGCGUGCAGCUCUAAUUUUAUCUCUGACCUGCAGAAGGUGUGUGAGAAUGGACUGAGAUGACCUGAGCACGGGUGAAAGGUCCGCAUCAAACCCAGAAAGUCAGCCGAGAUCCAGGGGCGGGUUCUCAUCCUACGGCCUCUCUACAUUCGUUUCUGAGACACAAAAGGACUUCACAGUGAAUGUUCAAGCAAAUUAGAGCACAAAAACAAAAGGGUUGUGGGCAAGCAACUGCGAAGACCACAGCUGUGUUUUGGUAAAUUCCCGGGCGAGGAGGAUAUGCCGGGUGAGUGAGGGAGGCCAGAGAGCGACAGAGUUCUUGGGUUAACUGGAAAAUUCAAUUAUCCAGAACCACAGUCCAUCAGCAAUCUGUUUAGUCAAGGUUUUGCUUCACCUUCCUUCUUUGAAUCAAUGCUCUUUGAAACAAUAUCCCCAGGAGUUAUUCGCUAUAGAGUAGAAGCACAGAUUUUGUCUAUUUAGCAAAAUAGGAGACGAAAUGGAAUGCUGCUGGGCUAAUUGCUUUGCAAGGAAGAAGAGAGGCAAUACUUCAGCACUUUAACCAGAUUCCCUACUUUUGCUUUUUCCAUUUGAUCAAUUUACAUGUGUACUGCAAGAAAUUGUGUUAUAAGAAAGCUGAGCCAUUCUGGUGUUCACUAAGGAAUGUAGCUUUGAUUAGUCCUUGUGUUAAAACAAACAUAAAGUGUACGGGCUGCCACAGAAAUACUUAAGUAGAAGGAGCUCUUUGUGGGACAGUAACAUUUCUGUCAGUUCCCAUGUCUGU